GACGAACGCUGGCGGCGUGCUUAACACAUGCAAGUCGAACGGAAAGGCCCUGCUUUUGUGGGGUGCUCGAGUGGCGAACGGGUGAGUAACACGUGAGUAACCUGCCCUUGACUUUGGGAUAACUUCAGGAAACUGGGGCUAAUACCGGAUAGGAGCUCCUGCUGCAUGGUGGGGGUUGGAAAGUUUCGGCGGUUGGGGAUGGACUCGCGGCUUAUCAGCUUGUUGGUGGGGUAGUGGCUUACCAAGGCUUUGACGGGUAGCCGGCCUGAGAGGGUGACCGGCCACAUUGGGACUGAGAUACGGCCCAGACGCCUACGGGAGGCAGCAGUGGGGAAUAUUGCACAAUGGGCGGAAGCCUGAUGCAGCAACGCCGCGUGCGGGAUGACGGCCUUCGGGUUGUAAACCGCUUUCGCCUGUGACAAAGCGUGAGUGACGGUAAUGGGUAAAGAAGCACCGGCUAACUACGUG
rnacentral:rRNA from 1 species